GAAGGUAAGGAAUGAAAAUCUUCAUUCCUAUUGAAUGAAGGCCAUGCCCAAUGGGCUUCAAGGAGGCUGCCUGAGGCCUUAUUAGGGAUUAAAUUUUCUAUUUCGGAGUCAUUCAAGCUUUGAAGGCUAAGGUCAGAAAGUUUAGGUAUUUAGGUAAAAAUUGGGUGAAAAUUUUGUGUGAUCUCGAGUUUUUAUAAAAGAGUUAUUAGCACUCAAAGUUAAGGUAUCAAUUUGGUACUUACUAUCACUCUUUGGGGCAUAACAUACAUUUAUAAAGAAUAAUGAAAGAUCAGCAACUGAGAUUGGAGAGAUCACUUUUUUGACUACAUCUUUUAAAUAUUGUUUAAUGAAUUUGAAUUUUGGAUGAAGAAGUUAUAGAGGGUUGAAGUCAGUGCAUUCAAAUGAAAGGCAGUAAGUAAGUGAUUUUGUUAAUAGUAAUGGUUGGAGCUAUAUCUUGAGUUUUUGGAAGAAUGUUUGACUAAAACCUUUUAAAGAAGGUAGAUAAAUGUGUUUAAAAACCAUAUAUAUAAACUUUGUGGCAUUUGGAUAUUUAGUUUGUUAGAUAUGAAGAAAAUUCCAUGUGGGUAUAUAAAAACUAGGGUUUGAAGCUACUAUUAGGAUUUUGGUGAUAUCUUAAUAUCAACGAUGAAUUUGUAGUUGAAAUUUGUUAUGAUAGUUUUUAGAAGUAUAUUAGUCCUUCAUGUAAAAUUUGAGUAUUUUUACACGGUCCGAUUGGAAGAUAUCAAUUUUUGAAGUUCAAGAAUAAUAUCCUAUAAGAAUA
rnacentral:lncRNA from 1 species